rnacentral:rRNA from 1 species
AACGCGAAGAACCUUACCAGCUCUUGACAUGUCCCGUAUGAGUACCAGAGAUGGAACUCUUCAGUUCGGCUGGCGGGAACACAGGUGCUGCAUGGCUGUCGUCAGCUCGUGUCGUGAGAUGUUGGGUUAAGUCCCGCAACGAGCGCAACCCUCGCCCUUAGUUGCCAUCAUUUAGUUGGGCACUCUAAGGGGACUGCCGGUGAUAAGCCGCGAGGAAGGUGGGGAUGACGUCAAGUCCUCAUGGCCCUUACGGGCUGGGCUACACACGUGCUACAAUGGCGGUGACAAUGGGAUGCAAUGGAGUAAUCCUGCGCAAAUCUCAAAAAGCCGUCUCAGUUCGGAUUGUGCUCUGCAACUCGAGCACAUGAAGUUGGAAUCGCUAGUAAUCGCAGAUCAGCACGCUGCGGUGAAUACGUUCCCGGGCCUUGUA